CAAUUCAAUUCAGUUUUAUUUGUAUAGCGCCAAUUCAUAACAGACGUUAUCUCAGGACACUUUUCAAAUAGAGCAGGUCUAGACCGAACUCUUUAAAACAUUAAUUACAGAGACCCAACAGUACCACCAUGAGCAAGCACUUGGCGACAAGGGCAAGGAAAAACUGCCUGUUAAAAGGCAGAAACCUAGGACAGACCCUUCGGCUCUAGGUGGGUGGUCGUCUGCCUCGACCAGUUGGGGUGAAAGAGAGAGAGAGAGAGAGAGAGAGAGA